CAACAGAAGGGAGCACGCGACAACAGAGAAGAGGAGAGAGCUCUAUCGCCACCGGAGCUUCGCCUUCAUCCACCGAGGUCAAGGGAUUUUCCUUGUCCAUCCUCAUCUCCACCUUCAUCAGAAGCUCCAACUGUUAUCAUCUCCAUCGCCCACACUUCUAUCCAUCUCUGCCAACCUGUCCACACUGCAAGCCACCUCCACCGGAUCCACCGGAGGUUAAGGGGAUUCCCUUCUUUAUUGGAGUUGACGAGUUCUUUCUUACCUCAUCUGCAAUCCCACCUCAUCCAUCUCAAUCCUGAUCAGCAAUAACGGAGAAAAUGGGUGUGCCAAAACAGGAGAUCAUCUUUCACCUUCAUCGCCAAUCACGAGAGUUCCACCCACCAUCGGGAUUAAGGGGAUUUCCUUUCCUAACCACUUCAUUCAAGAUUCAGCGAUCCGUCUUCCAUUCCAUCUCGCGAUGCCAUCAUCCGAGGGCCUACUUCAUCCAUCUCCAUUGGUGAUCCACAGCGUAAGCCCCAUUGAAAGGGGAAUUCCCUUCUUCAGCCAUCUUCAUCCUCCAGCCGCAACCCACAUCAGAUUUGGACAGCACCAUUGAGUUUGACGAAAAGAAAAUGAGGUUGCCUGACUCAGUUGUGCUCUAUUCAAAGUUCGGACGAGACGGAAUUGUAUUUCUAGUGUCCGACACAGUCAUCCCAUGGCCCUUGGCAUGUGUUAUGCUAUAUCUUUUGAUGAACUCUAGAUUUGGUCUUUUAACUUUGUCUUUUAUUUAUUUUAAAUUUUUAGGAUUAUUUUCCUUUUCUAAAAAUUAAUUUAGAUUUUAUCUCCUUUUUUUAGGAUGAGUUUUCUUUUACUUUUUCUUUUGUAUGCGACUUUUUCUUAUUUCUUAGGUUAUUUAAACAAGGGUUAUGACUCUUGUAAAAACAUAUUGUUGAUGCAGCGGG